rnacentral:rRNA from 1 species
GAAGGGGGCUAGCGUUGUUCGGAAUUACUGGGCGUAAAGCGCGCGCAGGCGGCUUUCCAAGUCAGGGGUGAAAUCCCAGAGCUCAACUCUGGAAUUGCCUCUGAGACUGUGAGGCUUCGAGUACGGGAGAGGUGAGUGGAAUUCCCAGUGUAGAGGUGAAAUUCGUAGAUAUUGGGAAGAACACCGGUGGCGAAGGCGGCUCACUGGCCCGUUACUGACGCUCAUGCGCGACAGCGUGGGGAUCAAACAGGAUUAGAUACCCUGGUAGUCCACGCCGUAAACUAUGGACGCUAGCCGUUGGCAAGCUUGCUUGUCAGUGGCGCAGCUAACGCAUUAAGCGUCCCGCCUGGGGAGUACGGCCGCAAGGUUG